rnacentral:rRNA from 1 species
CGAAAGCCUGACGGAGCAAUACCGCGUGAGGGAUGAAGGAUUUUGGUCUGUAAACCUCUUUUCUCAAGAAAGAAGUUCUGACGGUACUUGAGGAAUAAGCAUCGGCUAACUCCGUGCCAGCAGCCGCGGUAAUACGGGGGAUGCAAGCGUUAUCCGGAAUCAUUGGGCGUAAAGCGCCUGUAGGUUGUUUAGUAAGUCUGUUGUUAAAGACCAGGGCUUAACCCUGGGAAAGCAAUGGAAACUACUAGACUUGAGUAUGGCAGGGGUAGAGGGAAUUUCUAGUGUAGCGGUGAAAUGCGUAGAUAUUAGAAAGAACACCGGCGGCGAAAGCGCUCUACUGGACCAUUACUGACACUCAGAGGCGAAAGCUAGGGGAGCAAAAG